CAAGCAGAGGGAACAGCAAGCACAAAGGCAUGAGACAGGAACAGGCUUGGUGUGGUUGCGUGAAGAGCAGGGUCACAAUGGCCGAGAGUCACGUGUUUGGAGCGCAGUGAACAAGGAGGACAGCAACGCAGGAGGAGGUGGGAGGCGAGAAGACAGGGCCCUGGGAUGAGUUUGGAUCGCACUUGAGAGUAAUAUAACUCCUUUGGAAGAUUCUGAGCAGAGGAAUGACGCCAUCUGAUUUAUGUUUUUAAAAAAUCAUCAGGUUGUUGCAUUGAGAAUGGAUUCUAAAAGGGCAAGAGAAGAGGCAUGGAGACCAGUUAGGGUCGUAGCGAGGGAUACCGUAAGGAGUGGAUAGAAUUGAGAUGUAUUUUUUUUAAUGCCAAUAUUCUGAUGUGAAUAGAAAAAACAAAAAGAGAGAGAAAGAAAGCAAAAUAAUCACUACAGUUUGGGUUGAGUCACUGGGUGAAUGGCAAUGUCAUUUACCAAGACUGAGAUGGUCGUGGAUGAGCACCUGAAGAGUUCUGACUGGUCGUGGGCGAGAAAACGAAGAGUUCAGAUUGGUGCAUUUUAUGUUUGAAGUGCUUAGUAGAUAUCCGUGUGGGCGUUUUAUGCUCUGGGAGAGGUCAGUGAGUGUAGACAGAGAUGAGCAAAUUGAGCACACAACUGACUCAAAAUUACAGUCCUUUUUAUAUAUGGCAUGUUUUUGGUGACUUAACUCAAAUUGAUGGCUAAGAAAGAUUUUCUUUUUCGCCAGAAUGUGUUUAGCCUGCCCAAUUCAUGCGUAAGACAUUCAGGCAACUACCAUAAACAUCCUGUCACUUCCAACCUCACAGUGUCAGCCAGCAGAAUGACUAAAUCACGGUGAUCACAGCAGAACUUUGAUUCUUCCGUUGUGAAAUGAGGUGGAGAAGCCCUUCCCAUCUAAAAUAGUUGUAUUAUAACUCUAGCUGAACAUCGGUUUUGAAAUAAAAUUACAACUAAAAUGAUGUCUUUCUUCUGA
rnacentral:lncRNA from 1 species